GACGAACGCUGGCGGCGUGCCUAAUACAUGCAAGUCGAACGAACUCUGGUAAUGAUUGGUGCUUGCAUCAUGAAUUACAUCUGAGUGAGUGGCGAACUGGUGAGUAACACGUGGGAAACCUGCCCAGAAGCGGGGGAUAACACCUGGAAACAGAUGCUAAUACCGCAUAACAACUUGGACCGCAUGGUCCGAGUUUGAAAGAUGGCUUCGGCUAUCACUUUUGGAUGGUCCCGGGGCGUAUUAGCUAGAUGGUGAGGUAACGGCUCACCAUGGCAAUGAUACUUAGCCGGCCUGGGAGGGUAAUCGGCCACAUUGGGACUGAGACACGGCCCAAACUCCUACGGGAGGCAGCAGUAGGGAAUCUUCCACAAUGGACGAAAGUCUGAUGGAGCAACGCCGCGUGAGUGAAGAAGGGUUUCGGCUCGUAAAACUCUGUUGUUAAAGAAGAACAUAUCUGAGAGUAACUGUUCAGGUAUUGACGGUAUUUAACCAGAAAGCCACGGCUAACUACGUGCCAGCAGCCGCGGUAA
rnacentral:rRNA from 1 species